rnacentral:rRNA from 1 species
UACGUAGGCAGCGAGCGUUGUUCGGAGUUACUGGGCGUAAAGGGUGUGUAGGCGGUUGUUUAAGUUUGGUGUGAAAUCUCCCGGCUCAACUGGGAGGGUGCGCCGAAUACUGAAUGACUAGAGUGCGGGAGAGGAAAGUGGGAUUCCUGGUGUAGCGGUGAAAUGCGUAGAUAUCGCUUGGAACGCCAAUGGUGAAAACAGCUCGCUGGGGGUGUGCUGACGCUGAGACACGAAAGCCAGGGGAGCGAACGGG